AGAGUUUGAUCCUGGCUCAGAGUGAACGCUGGCGGCGUGCCUAAUACAUGCAAGUCGAACGAUGAAGCUUCUAGCUUGCUAGAGUGCUGAUUAGUGGCGCACGGGUGAGUAACGCAUAGGUCAUGUGCCUCUUAGUUUGGGAUAGCCAUUGGAAACGAUGAUUAAUACCAGAUACUCCCUACGGGGGAAAGAUUUAUCGCUAAGAGAUCAGCCUAUGUCCUAUCAGCUUGUUGGUAAGGUAAUGGCUUACCAAGGCUAUGACGGGUAUCCGGCCUGAGAGGGUGAACGGACACACUGGAACUGAGACACGGUCCAGACUCCUACGGGAGGCAGCAGUAGGGAAUAUUGCUCAAUGGGGGAAACCCUGAAGCAGCAACGCCGCGUGGAGGAUGAAGGUUUUAGGAUUGUAAACUCCUUUUGUUAGAGAAGAUAAUGACGGUAUCUAACGAAUAAGCACCGGCUAACUCCGUGCCAGCAGCCGCGGUAAUACGGAGGGUGCAAGCGUUACUCGGAAUCACUGGGCGUAAAGAGCGCGUAGGCGGGAUAGUCAGUCAGGUGUGAAAUCCUAUGGCUUAACCAUAGAACUGCAUUUGAAACUACUAUUCUAGAGUGUGGGAGAGGUAGGUGGAAUUCUUGGUGUAGGGGUAAAAUCCGUAGAGAUCAAGAGGAAUACUCAUUGCGAAGGCGACCUACUGGAACAUUACUGACGCUGAUUGCACGAAAGCGUGGGGAGCAAACAGGAUUAGAUACCCUGGUAGUCCACGCCCUAAACGAUGGAUGCUAGUUGUUGGAGGGCUUAGUCUCUCCAGUAAUGCAGCUAACGCAUUAAGCAUCCCGCCUGGGGAGUACGGUCGCAAGAUUAAAACUCAAAGGAAUAGACGGGGACCCGCACAAGCGGUGGAGCAUGUGGUUUAAUUCGAAGAUACACGAAGAACCUUACCUAGGCUUGACAUUGAGAGAAUCCGCUAGAAAUAGUGGAGUGUCUGGCUUGCUAGACCUUGAAAACAGGUGCUGCACGGCUGUCGUCAGCUCGUGUCGUGAGAUGUUGGGUUAAGUCCCGCAACGAGCGCAACCCCCUUUCUUAGUUGCUAACAGGUUAUGCUGAGAACUCUAAGGAUACUGCCUCCGUAAGGAGGAGGAAGGUGGGGACGACGUCAAGUCAUCAUGGCCCUUACGCCUAGGGCUACACACGUGCUACAAUGGGGUGCACAAAGAGAAGCAAUACUGCGAAGUGGAGCCAAUCUUCAAAACACCUCUCAGUUCGGAUUGUAGGCUGCAACUCGCCUGCAUGAAGCUGGAAUCGCUAGUAAUCGCAAAUCAGCCAUGUUGCGGUGAAUACGUUCCCGGGUCUUGUACUCACCGCCCGUCACACCAUGGGAGUUGUGUUUGCCUUAAGUCAGGAUGCUAAAUUGGCUACUGCCCACGGCACACACAGCGACUGGGGUGAAGUCGUAACAAGGUAACCGUAGGUGAACCUGCGGUUG
rnacentral:rRNA from 1 species